rnacentral:rRNA from 1 species
GACGAACGCUGGCGGCGUGCUUAACACAUGCAAGUCGAACGGAGUGGCGAACGGGUGAGUAACACGUGGGUGACCUGCCCUGCACUUCGGGAUGAGCCUGGGAAACUGGGACUAAUACCGGAUAGUGUGGGAUGGGCUCGCGGCCAUUCGGCUUGUUGGUGGGGUAAUGGCCUACCAAGGCGGGGACGGAUAGCCGGCCUGAGAGGGUAGACGGCCACAUGGGUACUGAGACACGGCCCAGACGCCUACGGGGGGCAGCAGUGGGGAACAUUGCACAAUGGGCGGAAGCCUGAGGCAGCGACGCCGCGUGGGUGAUGACGGCCUACGGGUUGUAAACUCCUUUCAGCAUCGACGCGGUAGAUGGAGAAGAAGCACCGGCUAACUACGUGCCAGCAGCCGCGGUAAUAC